GACGCAACAGACCCAGAACAUUAUCAUCUGAGAUCCUCGGCAUGUCAUAUGAACGCAUUUUGUCCAUCCAAAGUUUGAGUGAGGUUGAGAACCCAUGGAAAAGCAUUACUCUGAACCGUUGCAUAGUGUUGGCCAUCAUCAUUGUGCUUGUGAGCUCAGGGGUGAAUGAAAUACAUGAUGCUCUGGAUGUACUUCUAGAGGAGAAUGAUCUUCCUCAGAUGUUCCUUGGAGGCACGGGUCUACAACCAGACGGCAUAGCUCAGCCUGCAGCCUCUCUGUGGGACAGCUUGCUGAGUUGGGGCUCAGACGAUGGAAGAAAAGGAAAUCCCAAGAGAAGAGGGGGAAUCUUGAGAAUCAGAAAUAGAGAUGUUUCCGACAAAGGGCUGUUAAAGGAAUGA
ensembl:lncRNA